rnacentral:rRNA from 1 species
AUUGAACGCUGGCGGCAUGCCUUACACAUGCAAAUCGAACGGUAACGGGCCUUCGGGUGCCGACGAGUGGCGAACGGGUGAGUAAUACAUCGGAACGUGCCCGAUCGUGGGGGAUAACGAGGCGAAAGCUUUGCUAAUACCGCAUACGAUCUACGGAUGAAAGCAGGGGACCGCAAGGCCUUGCGCGGACGGAGCGGCCGAUGGCAGAUUAGGUAGUUGGUGGGAUAAAAGCUUACCAAGCCGACGAUCUGUAGCUGGUCUGAGAGGAUGAUCCGCCACACGAGGACGAAGACAAGGCCGAGGCGCCAAGAGGAGGCCGCAGAUGGGAAAUUAGGAAUAUGGGCACAGGCGUUAACAAUGCAUGCAGCAUGAGGGGUGAAGGCUUUCGAGAAGAAAAGUGAUGUAGAACGGAAAGGAAAGAAAGAGAAUAAUAAAGGAGAGUCCUGACGGUACCGGAAGAAUAAGGACCGACUUACAUGGAG